rnacentral:rRNA from 1 species
AACGAACGCUGGCGGCAUGCCUAACACAUGCAAGUCGAACGAGACCUUCUGGUCUAGUGGCGCACGGGUGCGUAACGCGUGGGAACCUGCCCUUAUGUUCUGCAUAACUCCCCGAAAUGGGUUCUAAUACCGGAUAAUAUUUUCGGACCGAAGAUUUAUCGCCUUGGGAUGGGCCGGCGUUGGUUUAGCUAGUUGGUAGGGUAUAAGCCUACCAAGGCGAGUAUCCAUAGCUGGACUGAGAGGAGGAUCAGCGACACUGGGACUGAGACAAGUCCCAGACUCGUACGAGAGGUAGCAGUGGGGAAUAAAGGAGAAGGGGCGAGAGGCUGAACCAGCGAGGCCGCGUGAGUGAUGAAGGGGUUAGGGUUGGAAAGCGCUUUUAACCGGGAUGAUAAUGACAGUACCGGGAGAAUAAGCACCGGCUAACUACGUG